GACGAACGCUGGCGGCGUGCUUAACACAUGCAAGUCGAACGGAAAGGCCCUGCUUUUGUGGGGUGCUCGAGUGGCGAACGGGUGAGUAACACGUGAGUAACCUGCCCUUGACUUUGGGAUAACUUCAGGAAACUGGGGCUAAUACCGGAUAGGAGCUCCUGCUGCAUGGUGGGGGUUGGAAAGUUUCGGCGGUUGGGGAUGGACUCGCGGCUUAUCAGCUUGUUGGUGGGGUAGUGGCUUACCAAGGCUUUGACGGGUAGCCGGCCUGAGAGGGUGACCGGCCACAUUGGGACUGAGAUACGGCCCAGACUCCUACGGGAGGCAGCAGUGGGGAAUAUUGCACAAUGGGCGGAAGCCUGAGGCAGCAACGCCGCGUGCGGGAUGACGGCCUUCGGGUUGUAAACCGCUUUCGCCUGUGACGAAGCGUGAGGGACGGUAAUGGGUAAAGAAGCACCGGCUAACUACGU
rnacentral:rRNA from 1 species